GGCGCGCGAGCGCGAGGCUGAGCGGGGCGCGCGGUCACGGCCCCGCGGGGAUCCCGGGCGGCCUGCGCCGCGCACCGGCACUAACGGGGUUCCCUGGGGCCGAGGGGGAUGGAGGAGGGGCUGCGGCUGUGUUUCAGCGCGGAGGGGCCGUUUCCGUGGUGACGAGCAGCGCUUCUGGUGGCCUUCGCGUGCGCUUGGUCGGUUCCACGCGAAAACAGUAACGUCACUUGAGAUGCACGCGAGCCGUGGCUUUAUUAGAGGUGUGUACUGAUGUUACAUAAUUGCUACAGGACCAUAUAGCGCCAAAGAGAUGGUGCAAAACAUACAGCGGGUAAACCUGCUUCCCCAGAAGGCCGCCUACCCGCCAGGUAUUGCCAAGUACAGCACUAACACAGCUCAAAAUUGCUUUUCUCAAGAUCCCUGGAGACCUUGCAUUGGAAUCUUUGGAGUAUAGCUGCUGCUGUCCCUCAGAGAAGAGUUGAACCUACUGGAGAAACCUGACCUCAGUCAUGCCACCAAGAGAGUAUUGGACUGAGGAGAAAUGUGGUGUGCUCCUAGUUCUGCUGCUAAUUUAGAAUGCAAUUUAGCCAUCCAUACAGCUGGCAUCUGAAACACGCAUUCAACAGAAGUAUCUGAAAGGGGUGAAAUAAAAAUAUUAAACAUUUCCAGAAGAAUUUCUUUCUAUCCAGUGGCAAUAGAGGUAGUCUGAAGAACUGCUGCCAAGAAAAACUUCUUUCCCCACAGCAGACUCGCGAGGAGUCAAGUGACUCCUCCCUCACUAUCAGUCUUUUGGCAAAACAGUUUUCAACUCAAUGAAUUUCCAUUUCCUUGUUUAGUGGGAUAGGAACCCCUCUAGAGGAGAGCUGUGGCUGAUGCACUAGGGUUUUAUGGCGUACAAUGCUGUCACAGUGACAAUGAUAAUGGUUGUUUAUUUUUUUUCUAUGAGUUUUGAGACCUUCACUAUCUCCACACCAUGGUGUAAAACCCAAAAGGACUCAAAACC